rnacentral:rRNA from 1 species
UAGGGAAUCUUGCGCAAUGGGCGAAAGCCUGACGCAGCCAUGCCGCGUGAAUGAUGAAGGUCUUAGGAUUGUAAAAUUCUUUCACCGGGGACGAUAAUGACGGUACCCGGAGAAGAAGCCCCGGCUAACUUCGUGCCAGCAGCCGCGGUAAUACGAAGGGGGCUAGCGUUGCUCGGAAUUACUGGGCGUAAAGGGCGCGUAGGCGGACAGUUUAGUCAGAGGUGAAAGCCCAGGGCUCAACCUUGGAAUUGCCUUUGAUACUGGCUGUCUUGAGUGCGGGAGAGGUGUGUGGAACUCCGAGUGUAGAGGUGAAAUUCGUAGAUAUUCGGAAGAACACCAGUGGCGAAGGCGACACACUGGCCCGUUACUGACGCUGAGGCGCGAAAGCGUGGGGAGCAAACAGGAUUAGGUACCCUGGUAGUCCACGCCGUAAACGAUGAAUGCUAGUUGUCGGCAUGCAUGCAUGUCGGUGACGCAGCUAACGCAUUAAGCAUUCCGCCUGGGGGAG